AAUUCGCCCUUGAGCACGUAGGUGGGUUUGUAAGUCAGAUGUGAAAGCCUUCUGUUCAACGGAAGAAUUGCAUCUGAAACUACAAGUCUUGAGUGUAGGAGGGGAGAAUGGAACUUCUGGUGGAGCGGUGAAAUCCGUAGAUAUCAGAAGGAACGCCGGCGGCGAAAGCGAUUCUCUGGCCUAUUACUGACACUCAGUGUGCGAAAGCUAGGGGAGCAAACGGGAUUAGAUACCCCGGUAGUCCUAGCCGUAAACGAUGGGCACUAAGUAGAGGGGAUUACCGACGUUCUCUCUGCCGUAGCUAACGCAUUAAGUGCCCCGCCUGGGGAGUACGGCCGCAAGGCUAAAACUCAAGAGAAUUGACGGGGGCUCGCACAAGCGGUGGAGCAUGUGGCUUAAUUCGAUGCAACGCGAAGAACCUUACCGGGGCUUGACAUGGUAGAAGUAGGAACCCGAAAGGGUAACGAACGGUAUCCAGUCCGUGACUAUCACAGGUGUUGCAUGGCUGUCGUCAGCUCGUGUCGUGAGACGUUGGGUUAAGUCCCCUAACGAGCGAAACCCUUGUUUUUAGUUACCAGCGGGUUGUGCCGGGUACUCUAGAAAGACUGCCGUCGUCAAGACGGAGGAAGGUGGGGAUGACGUCAAGUCAUCAUGGCCCUUAUGCCCCGGGCUGCACACGCGCUACAAUGGUCGGUACAAACGGAAGCGAAGCCGAGAGGUGAAGCGAAUCCAAGGGCGAAUU
rnacentral:rRNA from 1 species